rnacentral:rRNA from 1 species
UACGUAGGUGGCAAGCGUUGUCCGGAAUUAUUGGGCGUAAAGAGCGCGCAGGCGGUCGGAUAAGUCGAGUGUGAAAGCCCCUGGCUCAACCAGGGAGGGUCAUUCGAUACUGUUCGACUCGAAGGCAGGAGAGGGAAGUGGAAUUCCGGGUGUAGUGGUGAAAUGCGUAGAUAUCCGGAGGAACACCAGUGGCGAAGGCGACUUUCUGGCCUGUUCUUGACGCUGAGGCGCGAAAGCUAGGGGAGCAAACGGG